rnacentral:rRNA from 1 species
UACGUAGGGUGCGAGCGUUGUCCGGAAUUAUUGGGCGUAAAGGGCUCGUAGGCGGUUUGUCGCGUCGGGAGUGAAAACCUCGGGCUUAACUCGGGGCUUGCUUUCGAUACGGGCAGACUAGAGGUAUGCAGGGGAGAACGGAAUUCCUGGUGUAGCGGUGAAAUGCGCAGAUAUCAGGAGGAACACCGGUGGCGAAGGCGGUUCUCUGGGCAACAACUGACGCUGAGGAGCGAAAGUGUGGGGAGCGAACAGG